rnacentral:rRNA from 1 species
CCUACGGGAGGCAGCAGUGAGGAAUAUUGGUCAAUGGACGAGAGUCUGAACCAGCCAAGUAGCGUGAAGGAUGACUGCCCUAUGGGUUGUAAACUUCUUUUAUAUGGGAAUAAAAUGUUCCACGUGUGGGAUUUUGUAUGUACCAUAUGAAUAAGGAUCGGCUAACUCCGUGCCAGCAGCCGCGGUAAUACGGAGGAACCGAACGUUAUCCGGAUUUAUUGGGUUUAAAGGGAGCGUAGGUGGAUUGGUAAGUUAGUUGUUAAAGUUUGCGGCUCAACCGUAAAAUUGCAGUUGAAACUGGCAGUCUUGAGUACAGGAGAGGUGGGCGGAAUUCGUGGUGUAGCGGUGAAAUGCUUAGAUAUCACGAAGAACUCCGAUUGCGAAGGCAGUUCACUGGACUGCAACUGACACUGAGGCUCGAAAGUGUGGGUAUCAAACAGGAUUAGACACCCGGGUAGUC